AGCAGCCGCGGUAAUUCCAGCUCCAAUAGCGUAUAUUAAAGUUGUUGCAGUUAAAAAGCUCGUAGUUGAACUUCGGGAUCAAUGAGUUGGUCGUGCCCUUGGUAUGAACUGGCUUUAUUGGUUCUCACCUUCUAAUGAACCAUAAUGUCAUUCAUUUGAUGUUUUGGGGAAUUAGGACUGUUACCUUGAAAAAUUAGAGUGUUUAAAGCAGGCUCACGCUUGAAUACAUUAGCAUGGAAUAAUGAAAUAGGACAUCGCAUUCUAUUUUGUUGGUUUCUAGGAUCGAUGUAAUGAUUAAUAGGGAUAGUUGGGGGCAUUAGUAUUCAAUUGUCAGAGGUGAAAUUCUUGGAUUUAUUGAAGACUAACUACUGCGAAAGCAUUUGCCAAGGAUGUUUUCAUUAAUCAAGAACGAAAGUUAGGGGAUCGAAGACGAUCAGAUACCGUCGUAGU
rnacentral:rRNA from 1 species